UAUCAAGUCUGUGGGGCGCUGGAUCCCAGGAAGGUGUCCAACAGCCUUGGAGGGGAGACUCACAGGAGGGACCCCUGCCAGGCCCUUCCUCCCUGCUUACCUGUUCAUCUUGUCCUUGUCAUUCAGGCCACUCUUCCCGAGCAACAGGACCUGCUGCACUUUAGCUACGUUGCCUACGCUGGCAGCUCUGUGGAUCUUUCCGAGGUCCUUGUCUCGGAUGCGGUACCCGGGCUGAAAGUUGAUUCUAUGACUGCCGUCUCUCCCCGGGCUGAUGGAGGAGCCGAAGGGCGAGCUGCCCUUCUUACUCCUGAAGCCAAAAGUCUUCUUCAUCACAGAGCCUACAGACUCCAAACACACCUCACCUCCCCCUCGGCUCUUCACAGGCCCCUAAACCCAACAGGAGCACUAGAGGAGCUACCUCAAGUCCGAGGUCAGGGAAGGCGACUGAGAGGAGAAACCCCACGUCCAAGGAGCGGCAGCUGCGUCGGCACAGAAGGGCCGAGACGAGCUACUCCACGUUCAAGGUCAGGAGGGGCAGCCAUGAGGAGAUACUCCUCGUCCAAGUUACUUCCUCGCUAAAACCCGCGUCUUCAGGCUCCAGCUGAAGAGUCUCUUCCUCGGAGAGAAUUUCCCGGAUUUCUCCAUCU